rnacentral:tRNA from 1 species
GCGGGUGUAGCUCAGUUGGUAGAGCGCCACCUUGCCAAGGUGGUUGUCGUGGGUUCGAAUCCCAUCACCCGCU